GACGAACGCUGGCGGCGUGCUUAACACAUGCAAGUCGUACGGUAAGGCCCUUUCGGGGGUACACGAGUGGCGAACGGGUGAGUAACACGUGAGUAACCUGCCCACAACUUUGGGAUAACGCUAGGAAACUGGUGCUAAUACUGGAUAUGUUCUCCUGCUGCAUGGUGGGGGUUGGAAAGCUCCGGCGGUUGUGGAUGGACUCGCGGCCUAUCAGCUUGUUGGUGGGGUAGUGGCCUACCAAGGCGGCGACGGGUAGCCGGCCUGAGAGGGUGACCGGCCACAUUGGGACUGAGAUACGGCCCAGACUCCUACGGGAGGCAGCAGUGGGGAAUAUUGCACAAUGGGCGCAAGACUGAUGCAGCAACGCCGCGUGCGGGAUGACGGCCUUCGGGUUGUAAACCGCUUUCAGCAGGGACGAAGCUUUUUGUGACGGUACCUGCAGAAGAAGCACCGGCUAACUACGUG
rnacentral:rRNA from 1 species